rnacentral:rRNA from 1 species
UACAGAGGUCCCAAGCGUUGUUCGGAUUCACUGGGCGUAAAGGGUGCGUAGGUGGUUAGGUAAGUCUGAUGUGAAAUCUCUGGGCUCAACCCAGAAACUGCAUUGGAUACUAUCUAGCUAGAGGAGUGGAGGGGGGACUGGAAUACUUGGUGUAGCAGUGAAAUGCGUAGAUAUCAAGUGGAACACCAGUGGCGAAGGCGAGUCCCUGGACAACUUCCUGACACUGAGGCACGAAAGCUAGGGGAGCAAACAGG